UGGUGAGUAACGCGUGGGCAACCUGCCUCAUACAGGGGGAUAACACAGGGAAACUUGUGCUAAUACCGCAUAACAUCGUUGGGUGACAUCACCUGAUGAUCAAAGGAGAAAUCCGGUAAGAGAUGGGCCCGCGUCCGAUUAGCUAGUUGGUGAUGUAACGGACCACCAAGGCGACGAUCGGUAGCCGAACUGAGAGGUUGAUCGGCCACAUUGGGACUGAGACACGGCCCAGACUCCUACGGGAGGCAGCAGUGGGGAAUAUUGCACAAUGGAGGAAACUCUGAUGCAGCAACGCCGCGUGAAGGAUGAAGGUUUUCGGAUUGUAAACUUCUUUGAUGAGGGACGAAUAAAUGACGGUACCUCAAAAACAAGCCACGGCUAACUACGUGCCAGCAGCCGCGGUAAUACGUAGGUGGCGAGCGUUGUCCGGAUUUACUGGGUGUAAAGGGCGUGUAGGCGGGGAUGUAAGUCAGAUGUGAAAUUCCAUGGCUCAACCAUGGGGCUGCAUCUGAAACUAUGUCUCUUGAGUGCUG
rnacentral:rRNA from 1 species